ACUGUAUCACGUCCAAAACUGUAUUAAUUAAAAUGGAUAAUUUUAGUUUCGGUUAUCUCACGUCUCCACCGGAACUAUAAAAAAAAUACAGAAUUUAUAGUUCCGUGUAAUCAUAAUACCUUACGUUGUACGCAAAAUGUUUUUGUUGUUUUAAUGCUCCAAAAACAAUGUAUUCCGUCAACGGGAGAAAAUUCAUGGAGGGUCCUAUUUACGGAGAAACUAUCAACGAGUUGUUGGGACCAGACACAAUUGAAAUACUUCGAGAGGCAGGAGUUUCGGUAUUUAUUGAGUGCUAGUGCUUGAAACAGCUGAUCAAAGUUUAAUAUGAAACUAGUCAUAUUACAUACUGUCUAGAUUUCUCAUUAUAUAUAAUUAUGUAAGUACUCUCUCCUGAAGGUGUGUAAAGUUUCAUGUCAGUGUAAAAAAAAAAAGAAAGAAGAAGACCCGAUCGGUAUCUAUUCAUAGUUCCAUAAUUGACUGCUUUCGAUGCAUUUCUAAGCACCAUUUUUAAAUUUUAUUUAUUAUUAUUAUUAACAUUUUAUCUUUAUUGAAAAUCCACAUCUUUUGUUUGCAUUAGUUUUUGUGACGAGGAACAUGGAUAUUUUGAUAUGAGUUUCCAAGAUUAAGUUGUAAAUAGUUAUCGUAUAAAAUGCUGUUACGGUCAUUAGCUUUUACUUUCAUUUUCCUGAUCAGUAUUCAAUGUCGAUGUUUUAAAGGAGAAACUUAGCAAAGGGGUUGCUGAAGUUUUUAAUGAUGAUAUAUUCCGUCCAAAUGUGUCUCAGAAAAGAAUGGCCAAAUCAACUCGGGAGCAAAUGACUUGCGAGACACCAUCUAACAAUACAAGUGAAGCAGUUAUGAGGAACAAAAGGACUAAAAAGUCUCUGUUUUCUGAUCAGGCUGAUAGUAAUGAAGAUAAAAUGUUUUCACAAAAUAUAACAUGUUAAUAUCAAUAGACUGCUGUCUUUACCAAUAGUGUAGUUUAGGUUUAAGUAUAAUAUAGUAAAAACAGGAUGUGUUGCAAUAUGUCUGUCCCACCUGGUCCGUAAAUGGGCAAGUGCAAUCUGGGCAGUAAUCCGUCAACAGAAUGUUUAUGUGGUCGAGGGUAAAGCACCUGACUGAUAAUUUUGCACUGUAUAUACAGUAUGGUAUGGUACAGAGAUUUCAAUAGUAUUGUUUAAAGUCAGCAUUUCGAAAAUUAUAUGGUCAUCAUAGCGAUCUAAUUUAUCAAUACAACUUAUCAUUACGUUAAAUGCUGUCUGACGUGUUUCAUACCGAUUGUUAUAACGUUUUUGGCACACUGAUUUUGAGUGCGGAUAACUUCGUUUUCACGAUCAGGAUAUAGGGCUACCUGCUUGUGUGACCAGUUGGCAGAGGUUGCUUACUCCUCCUGGGCACCUGAUUCCACCUCUGGUGUGUCCAGGGAUCCGUGUUUGCGCAACUAUCUAAUUUGUAUUGCUCAUAGGAGUUGUGAGAUUGAUCAUUUUUCCAUAUGUGAUAUGUAUAUUUAUUUAUUUAUUCAUUUUGUAUAGGAUCUUCUAUAGUUUGUAAUUUGAUAUAUGAUUUCAACCAGUUGUGUAACUUCUAUCCCCGAGUUGUGGCGAGUUGGAUAUAAAUCAUGUCAAACCACAAAUGAUGGAAGAUUUUUUUCACAUUAAGCUAACAACCCCCCCCCCCCCCCCCCCCCCCCCCCCUGUUAUUCAUUUACGAUACUGCAUUGCUGGAAAUUUUGCUUUUGCUUCUUGAUAUUUUGUAAAACCACCCUACGUAAAAUUGAAGUUUUAUGUAAUAGGCGAUAUCCACUGAAUAAAGGAGUAAACAUG